rnacentral:tRNA from 1 species
GCCGAUGUAGCUCAGACGGUAGAGCAACUCCUUGGUAAGGAGUAGGUCGCCGAUUCGAUUUCGGCCAUUGGCU